GGAAGGGUGCCGGAGCGGUCUAACGGAACGGCUUGGAAAGCCGUGACCUUAACGGGUCCCGUGGGUUCGAAUCCCACCCCUUCCG
rnacentral:tRNA from 1 species